ACUCAAAUGAAUAGACGGGGGCCCGCACAAGCGGUGGAGCAUGUGGUUUAAUUCGACGCAACGCGAAGAACCUUACCUAGGCUUGAACUGCUUCGGAAGAUCAGCAGAAACGUUGGUCGUUCCGCAAGGAAUCGGAGCAGAGGUGCUGCAUGGCUGUCGUCAGCUCGUGUCGUGAGAUGUUGGGUUAAGUCCCGCAACGAGCGCAACCCUUGUCCUGUGUUGCCAUCAUUUAGUUGGGCACUCUCAGGAGACCGCCAGUGAUAAACUGGAGGAAGGUGGGGACGACGUCAAGUCAUCAUGGCCUUUAUGUCUAGGGCUACACACGUGCUACAAUGGUCGGUACAAUGCGCUGCAAACCCGCGAGGGGGAGCCAAUCGCAAAAAACCGAUCUCAGUUCGGAUUGCAGGCUGCAACUCGCCUGCAUGAAGCUGGAAUCGCUAGUAAUGGCGUAUCAGAAUGACGCCGUGAAUACGUUCCCGGGCCUUGCACACACCGCCCGU
rnacentral:rRNA from 1 species